rnacentral:misc_RNA from 1 species
GAUGAAGAACGUAGCGAAAUGCGAUAAGUAAUGUGAAUUGCAGAGUUCAGUGAAUCAUCGAAUCUUUGAACGCACAUUGCGCCCGUCAGUAUUCUGACGGGCAUGCCUGUCCGAGCGUCAUUUCAACCCUCAAGCACUGCUUGGCGUUGGCGGAUUGCGUGCCCUCGCGGCGCUGCAACCGCCCAAAUACAGUGGCGGUCCCGCUGCGGCUCCCUUUGCGUAGUAACUCACCUCGCACUGGACCGGGCGGCGGCCUGCCGUAAAACCCCAACUCACGAAAUGUUGACCUCGGAUCAGGUAGGAAUAGCCGCUGAACUUAAGCAUAUCAAUAAGCGGAGGA